rnacentral:rRNA from 1 species
UACGGAGGGUGCAAGCGUUAUCCGGAUUCACUGGGUCUAAAGGGAGCGUAGGUGGGCUGGUAAGUCAGUGGUGAAAUCCCCGAGCUUAACUUGGGAACUGCCAUUGAUACUAUCAGUCUUGAAUACUGUGGAGGUUAGCGGAAUAUGUCAUGUAGCGGUGAAAUGCUUAGAUAUGACAUAGAACACCAAUUGCGAAGGCAGCUGGCUACACAAUUAUUGACACUGAGGCUCGAAAGCGUGGGGAUCAAACAGG